rnacentral:rRNA from 1 species
AGAGUUUGAUCAUGGCUCAGGACGAACGCUGGCGGCGUGCUUAACACAUGCAAGUCGAACGGAAAGGCCCUGCUUUUGUGGGGUGCUCGAGUGGCGAACGGGUGAGUAACACGUGAGUAACCUGCCCUUGACUUUGGGAUAACUUCAGGAAACUGGGGCUAAUACCGGAUAGGAGCUCCUGCUGCAUGGUGGGGGUUGGAAAGUUUCGGCGGUUGGGGAUGGACUCGCGGCUUAUCAGCUUGUUGGUGGGGUAGUGGCUUACCAAGGCUUUGACGGGUAGCCGGCCUGAGAGGGUGACCGGCCACAUUGGGACUGAGAUACGGCCCAGACUCCUACGGGAGGCAGCAGUGGGGAAUAUUGCACAAUGGGCGGAAGCCUGAUGCAGCAACGCCGCGUGCGGGAUGACGGCCUUCGGGUUGUAAACCGCUUUCGCCUGUGACGAAGCGUGAGUGACGGUAAUGGGUAAAGAAGCACCGGCUAACUACGUG